GAGUUUGAUCGUGGCUCAGGAUGAACGCUAGCGGCAGGCUUAAUACAUGCAAGUCGUGGGGCAGCAUGACUGUAGCAAUACAGUUGAUGGCGACCGGCAAACGGGUGCGGAACACGUACACAACCUUCCUUUAAGUGGGGAAUAGCCCAGAGAAAUUUGGAUUAAUACCCCGUAACAUAAUGAAGUGGCAUCACUUUAUUAUUAUAGCUCCGGCGCUUAAAGAUGGGUGUGCGGCUGAUUAGAUAGUUGGCGGGGUAACGGCCCACCAAGUCGACGAUCAGUAACUGGUGUGAGAGCACGACCAGUCACACGGGCACUGAGACACGGGCCCGACUCCUACGGGAGGCAGCAGUAAGGAAUAUUGGUCAAUGGACGCAAGUCUGAACCAGCCAUGCCGCGUGGAGGAUGAAGGUCCUCUGGAUUGUAAACUUCUUUUAUUUGGGAAGAAAUCUAUCUUUUCUUGGAUAGUUGACGGUACCAGAUGAAUAAGCA
rnacentral:rRNA from 1 species